rnacentral:lncRNA from 10 species
GUCUGAUGAAGGACGAUCAUAACUAAAGUAUAUGCAAAGGCACACAGGGGCAGAAAAGCCCAAGCUAUGUUCUGGGGACACCAGGUUUGGUGCAGGACAUUUGGCUGUGGGAUGCAGAAGGAUGGAAGUGGGAACAGAGGAUGAAUGGCAGCUGUUCUCUGCUGUGGCUGGAGGGAAAAGGCAAGGCUGGGAAGCUGGGCUCGUUUUUAGACGUUAAUAUAAUCUUUGGACAUUUUUGAACUCAGAGAAAUUGAUAUUUUUACUUUUAUGUUUUAGAAAUUUUGGCCAGACAGUAGUAGAAAGACAAAACUGGAUAAAGUUGAAUAUGUAAGCCUUGUUCUGAUCUUUGGGUCAUGGUACCUAGUCUUCUUACUGGCUGCAUAAAUAACACACUUCUGCUCCCAUGGGUCCUUUAAACAACCAGUCCUGCAUAUUCCAAGGAUUACAGCCUCAUGUCUGAUGAUACAAAGGUACUUCAAAUAUAAUUCAAGCCAAACCUCUCAUAUUCACAGUAAGAAAAUUGAGACAAAGAUAAGUGAAGUGACUUUUAAUGGUACUCCCUUUGACAUCUGUAAAAUGAAAGUCUUUACCAUACAGCACACUCACAUAGAGAGGAGUCUGUGUCCACUGGCAGCUGCUUCUCAGCUUCAUCCACACUGUGGCCACGGAAAGGCCUGCCCUCCUGUUCCUUUCCUUAGAAAAUUAAUUUCUUGAGCCUAAUUUGGUGGAAAUGUGGAUCUACUGCAUAUCCUGUGCAGGUUUAAAAAAAGCACUUAAUUGCUAAUUGCCACUCAUCCUUUUGGGCCCUCUGGCAUAUGCAAUAUUUCAUAGCUUCUCUAAACUCACCAACGAUAAAAUGUUCAAGCUAAAUGCAUAGGGUCAAUAGGCUGACUUCCAGAUUCCAUGUACAUUUUGUUUUAGUGUAUUAUCCAUGCUGUAGGCAUAUACUUCAAUACUUUUCCUUUACGCUGCAAUACCUCAGGGGAAACUGAGGCUGUGAUGCAUCUUUGACUGAAGGAGUCCUGUGAAAACCAGGAAAGGCAGAGGCAGACUUAAGGUCAUAGUGUGUAUAUGACACGUAAUUUCUUGUGUUAAAAUACAUACUUACCAUCUCUGCCCCCACCAACAAACAAAAAAACACACAGACAAAACCUGUGUGAACCUCUGAUUGUCUGGAGGUAAAGGUGGAAUCUAUGUUUGGGUCAGAAACAAACAACAUGAUGGGCUUAAAAUUAAUGUGUCAAAUGUGAAAUGUAAAUCACAUCUCAGCUGCAAAUACUUAACCAGAUAGACGUGAGAAGCAAAGAAAAAGAAGUGGCUUCCUUUAAAAAGAUCUACUACUGGCAUCCAGAUUGUACUCUUGGAUCUGAACCCCACUCCUCCUAAAUUCUCAUGUGCUUUUCCACAUCUCUUCCCAAGUCUGCUCCAGGAAAGUUAACAAGAGAUGAGCUCAGCUCUAAGGAAAUGAAGGGUCCUAUGUACUUGGAAGAUCAUUAGAGGUAGAAUGCAAGAUGAUGCUUCAAUCUCUGAGCCUAAAACGGAAGCCUGCUCACCUGGACUUUGAAUCAAUGUGCUUACUGUUGAGAAAUGCACACCAUGCAUGUUGCUUUGGCAGCGAAGCACGUCACCAUCACCGUCUUCCUUUCUCCAGUUCAUCUACUAUAGCAUUUCAAAGGCUCAUGAGGUACUGAAGCAAACACGGGAAUCCAACCUCUAAUUGAGGGUUGGAAACAUAAAGGGAGGUGUACAUGAGGCAUUGUGAUCCCAGCUACCCACCAGCCAGCUGCCUUCUGCUUGAGCAAUUUAUUUGGAUUACCACAGUCAAGCUUAUCUUUACUCUCACAUAUUAGACAGGCAUAAUAUUAAGAAUAAAUUAUUUUAAAUCCCUUCCCUGAAGAAAAAAAAAAAGAAAAGAAAAAUAUUAUGAAAAAGCAACAUCUUGUUGCCAGAACUGUUCUGAGACAUUAAGAGUGGGCAACAGCUGCCUAUUUUUCACUCCACAUCGUAGUUAUUAAAAAGAAUUCAAAUGGUUCGCAGCAGGGAUUAUGCUCCUGAGUUUGGGGAAGAUGUAAAUGCAAACGUCAAGAAAAAACUUCAGUUUGCUCAUUGGUGCUCUCCUGUAACACUCCGUGACCUUGUUGGGCUGGGUCUGGAAAGAAGAACAUAGACAGAAACCAUUUGGUCAAUCCGUGGUCUAAGUUCAGGAAGAAUGAAGCACACAGAGAAUGCUUUGUGGAUAUUUUAAUUUGAGCCAUAUUUCUUUGGAUUCUGUCCACAGUGUUUUUAAUUUCAUCAAUUUGUAAUUUAUUAUAGUGACAAUAUGAGUUGUCAUAUUUCUGCUUUUACUCAUUGCAAACAAAAAGGCUUCCGUAGAGUCAGCUUUCUCCAGAACUGGGGUUGAGUCAUCUGUGCCCUCAUUUUCAUCAGCUUCCUUAGAUUUCCUUGAAAACAAAAAAGGUCAACGAUGAAUUUUUAUAGAGUUUCAAAAAGGUGUCAAAAUCGCGUUCUCAAAUGCUACAGUACGUUAAGCAACAUAGACACCGUACUUGUCCAAAUGUCUUUCUGCUGGGGAGAAUAAAUGGGAGCAGACCAGGUGUGUUUAAGCUGGGACUGCGUGACUGUCAUCCUCCCAGCUGAGCUUGCCAGGGCGGAAGAAUCAUCUUCACCCUCCUCUGUGAGUUGAGUGACUGCUUUCUAACUCCUGCAUCCUGAAUGUCCCACCUGGGUUUCUUCCCAGUGUUCUUUCCAACCGGUUGGAGCCUCUCCAGUUACUUAUCUCUCCUCAGUCUUCUUCUACCUGGUGCUCCGUUCUCUACCCCAUCGUCUUCUUUGACAGCCAAAGUAAUUUUAUGAAGUAAAUGUCAAAUGAUGUUCACCCCCUUAUUCAGCAGAAUUAAGCUCCCACUCA